UUUUUUUUAUACGCAACUAUGUACCGUAUAUUACAUCCCAUAAUAUUUUUUUAUUAUGCGUGUGUGUUUUAUUACCGUGUACGCGUAAUUGUUAAUUCAUGGUGGGGAUAGACCAUUGUUAAUUGUUGGUCUCGGUCUUAACUAGGAAUGCCUUGUACGGGUCAUUGGUUCAACAAACCACCCGGAAUACGUCCCUGCCCUUUGUACACACCGCCCGUCGCUCUUACCGAU
rnacentral:rRNA from 1 species